AGUGAACGCUGGCGGUAGGCCUAACACAUGCAAGUCGAACGGCAGCACCGUAAGAGCUUGCUCUUACGGGUGGCGAGUGGCGGACGGGUGAGGAAUACAUCGGAAUCUACUUUUUCGUGGGGGAUCACGUAGGGAAACUUACGCUAAUACCGCAUACGACCUACGGGUGAAAGCAGGGGAUCUUCGGACCUUGCGCGAUUGAAUGAGCCGAUGUCGGAUUAGCUAGUUGGCGGGGUAAAGGCCCACCAAGGCGACGAUCCGUAGCUGGUCUGAGAGGAUGAUCAGCCACACUGGAACUGAGACACGGUCCAGACUCCUACGGGAGGCAGCAGUGGGGAAUAUUGGACAAUGGGCGGAAGCCUGAUCCAGCCAUACCGCGUGGGUGAAGAAGGCCUUCGGGUUGUAAAGCCCUUUUGUUGGGAAAGAAAAGCAGCAGGUUAAUACCCCGCUGUUCUGACGGUACCCAAAGAAUAAGCACCGGCUAACUUCGUG
rnacentral:rRNA from 1 species